UCUAUACUAAGAGUUCAUGCAUUCUGAUUUGGCAAAUAUCCUCCCCCUAUAACCUGACAGCUCUGCGCUUUGAUAAAGCUGUUGACCUUAACGUCUUACUUGUAUUUGUUCGUUAUACGUGGUGAGAAUGUUAGUAUAGAUGAAUAAAGGAACAGUUGUUUUUUGGUGUGUGUGUGUGUGUCUUUUAUUUUUAAAGCAUUUGAGCUCUGCCCCCACCCUCCACUUCCAUUCAUCACUUAGCAGAGGACCCAGGUGGCUUACCUGAAAAACUUGAAAUACAUACUGGAGUUUUCGGUGGACACAACAUCUUUGUUUUACGUGAUGCUGAGGAUCAAACCCAGUGCCCCGCGCAUGCCAGCAGAUGGCGCGCCUUCCAUCAAGGACCUCAAUGCACCUAACAAAUGCUCUGAGUCAUCAAA